rnacentral:lncRNA from 1 species
CCCAUUACAAUUGAUUUUUGAUCAAUAGCUAAAUAUUUCUCAUCUUUGAAUUUUUGUAUGUGCGUAUAUGUUCUAAUUGCUCAACCACAACACACAAAGAUGAGUGAAUCCUCAAAGAAAGUUGGGAAUAUAUAUUAAUUACAAGUUUCUUUAUAUUAUUAGAUGUUUUGAAUGUAUUCGAGAUUCAAUUAUGAAAUAAUUUGUG